UAAAGGGGCAAUGAGGAUGAGAAUUGGCCUUGCGGGCGCGGGAGACGUGCGCGGUGGAGGGAUCCUGCUAAACGCCUGGAGAUGAAAAGAUUUCCUGAGAUUAAUGAGGCAGCCAUUGAUUCUUUUCCUCCUAUCCAUACAUCUUCACAUUGGAGUUCCUUCCAUGCUGGGAAAGGGAAGCAGGAUCAGGAUGAAAUGGGCAAAUGCAUCAUUCUGAGCUGGGUGUGCAAUCUCCGUCCUCUUGACUCUUGUUUGUCUGGUCAACAUUGACUGGUUGCACUCAGGCAUGCUUCCCAAGAAACAAUCUGUUAGCCUGAGAAAACUCUGGAAAUGCAGGCCAACCUCAAAGCAGCAGCAAGUCUGAUUUUCCUGCCAAGAAUGCUGUCCAGCCCAUCUCUUGACCUUUUACCUCCCUAUUUCCAAAGCUGGAGUGUGAUAUCAGUCUACUUUAUUUCCCUACCUGCAGAGGCCAAACAGCAAGCCCCCCAACUGGAGUCUUUGAAGUUUCUCCCACUAAAAUAGAGCGGAGUGUCAGCACCACCUUCUCCCCUUCCACACCAGGGACCUCUCCUGGGCACUGAGGCAGGACAGGACAGAACACAGAAGCAACUCACUACGAAGCACUUGCUGUCAAAAUAUUAUCUCUUAUCUCCAACAGCUCAACUGUUUUGUAUCUUUGGUCAGGGA